rnacentral:rRNA from 1 species
UACGUAGGGUGCAAGCGUUGUCCGGAAUUAUUGGGCGUAAAGAGCUCGUAGGCGGUCUGUCGCGUCUGCUGUGAAAAUCAGGGCUCAACCCUGGACCUGCAGUGGGUACGGGCAGACUAGAGUGCGGUAGGGGAGAUCGGAAUUCCUGGUGUAGCGGUGAAAUGCGCAGAUAUCAGGAGGAACACCGAUGGCGAAGGCAGGUCUCUGGGCCACUACUGACGCUGAGAAGCGAAAGCGUGGGGAGCGAACAGG